rnacentral:rRNA from 2 species
AUUCUGACUGUGCGAAGGUAGCAUAAUAAAUUGUCUUUUAAAUGAAGGCUUGAAUGAAAGGUUGGACAAAGUGUCAUCUGUUUCUUAAAUAUUUAUUGAAUUUGACUUUCAAGUGAAAAGGCUUGAAUAAAUUAAAAAGACGAUAAGACCCUAUAAAUCUUUACAAUAAAUAUAUUUUAUAUUUUAGUUUAUUAAGUGUAUAAGAUAUUGAAUAUAUAGUUGUUUCGCUGGGGCGGCGUGGAUAUAUUAAUAAACUGUCUAUAUAUUAAAACCAAUAAUUAUUGAUUAAUAAGAAUGAUCCUUAAACAGAUUAGAAGAUUAAGAUACUUUAGGGAUAACAGCGUUAUUUUUUUUGAGAGUUCUUAUCGAAGAAAAAGUUUGCGACCUCGAUGUUGAAUUAAAGUAUCUUUAUGGUGCAGCCGCUAUAAGAGAG